rnacentral:rRNA from 1 species
UGGGGAAUUGUUCGCAAUGGGCGCAAGCCUGACGACGCAACGCCGCGUGGAGGAUGAAGAUCUUCGGGUCGUAAACUCCUUUCGAUCGGGAAGAACAGUUCCCGGGUGAAUAGCCCGGGGAUUUGACGGUACCGAGAGAAGAAGCCCCGGCUAACUCCGUGCCAGCAGCCGCGGUAAUACGGGGGGGGCAAGCGUUGUUCGGAAUUACUGGGCGUAAAGGGCUCGUAGGCGGCCAACUAAGUCGGAUGUGAAAUCCCCAAGCUUAACUUGGGAACUGCAUCCGAUACUGGAUGGCUUGAAUCCGGGAGAGGGAUGCAGAAUUCCAGGUGUAGCGGUGAAAUGCGUAGAUAUCUGGAGGAAUACCGGUGGCGAAGGCGGCAUCCUGGACCGGCAUUGACGCUGAGGAGCGAAAGCUAGGGGAGCAAACGG